rnacentral:lncRNA from 1 species
AUCGUUCCUCCCCAAUCACAUUUUUCAUUCUCACAGAACAUCCUCUCAUUCAUAUUUUAAAGACCUGAGUGAUUCACGUCCAACAUCAGAGAGAAGUGGAAUCCUCAUCUCUAGUCAGGCCUUGGCCAUGCAGUGUCCAGUAUUUCCCUGAGGACCCCUGAUUUCCUGGGCCAUGGACAUCUCUCCAUUGGAGACUUGGCUGAGACCACUGAAUUCAUAUCACAGUGAACCAUUUUAAGAUAUUUCUCUCCACUCCAACGAAACAUCUGAGUGCUCCAACCUGGAAAGACCUUAUAAGAAAACAUUUUCAUAUAGAAAGCAUCUUGGUGACAAGUAUUUUGUGGAGUCGAAUCAAUUAAUAAAGAUUAACCACUCCAUCAAGAGGGAUGCCAUCUUGAAAAGAGGAUGAUCCAUCACAGAAACAUGUGUCAGUCCUCAUGCUCUAUGAAGAUUUGGAAAGAGACUUGCAUAGAUUCCUGCGUCCUCAAUGACUGUGGGAAGGGCCUUCUUUUGCUAGUGAAAGGUGAAUGUUUGGAAACAGCAGAAGCAGGCAUUGGACGGAGACAUUCCACGAGUGAGACCCUGUUGCCCUCUCUAAACACAUCCGGUAAUUAAACUCCAGGGAGGCAGAACUGUGUGAGGCAAUGGACAAAACUGGUAAAAUCAAACAGGUACAACCUGCCAGCGAAUAAAUGUAAGCUGCAAGUGAAAAGAAGGUUUUUA